CUAUUACGUAAUGUAAAAACGGUGUAUUUUCUGGAAAUGCGUCUAUUUAUGUUAGUUUAAACGAUUCACUGACGUUUUAAUGUUGAUGUUGGAUUUGUACGUAAAAUUUUUGAGUUGUGCAGUCCACCAUGCACUCUUGACGUUGAAUACUAUUAUCCCUGGGAUUUUGCACAGCAGGUGCAUUAUCUACCAAUUUAUUUCCGUACCCUAAUGAAGCGCCAUGUGUUUGGUGUAUGUGCAGAAGGAUCAGAUACAUUUCAAUAAUGCGGCUGGACAGAAUUAAAACAACUAUGUCAUUUGGUAUGCAGUUAUGGAGCACUUUAAAGGGCCUACAUGAGACUGUUGCAAUGAGUAUGUUGGUGACAGGGCACAGGAAAUUUGACCCAGAUUAGCACUUCGGUGUAUGGAAAGUGAAGUGAAGAGAUUCUGAUGCAUAAACUAUGACCCAAAUGGCUGACACUGUGAGACAGUCAUCAAAAGGGGGUCACAAUGUUCCACAAGUAGUUGAUAAUCCUGAAACACCUGUUGUUUUUUUUACAGCUGGAAGCAAUUUCUUUAACAGUAUUUUAAACCUGUUUAAACAGUUGUCUAAAUACCAACAUUUCUUUGUCAGUUCAGUUUAACCGGGUGUUUUAUGUUGCAAAGAAUAUUUUGAUUCUGAAGAAGUUAAAGUAACUAUAUUGAAGCAAGUGCCCGAUAAAAAUGCUAUGCUUGUAGUAAAAGCUUUUCCAGGUCUGAAUGUGGCACGUCAGAGGUAUUUGUCUUAAAAUUUUUGAGAUUGCUUCUUAACGCACUGUUUUGAUUUUCUAUCUAUAUAAUUUAGUUUUUGUUUCAAGUUCGUUUAUUUUGCAAAUGUCGAGCAUAUAAUGAUAUACUAAUAAUGCUAUGGAAGUGGUGAAAAAUUUUAUAGUUGCUAGGCAACAGAAUAUAGGUUGUAAUUUUUUGUGGAUAUUGUUUUGCUUUAAUUCUUGUUAGAUUCUGAACACUCAGUUAUAUGAAAAUACUAUGUUCUUGAGGGUUUUUUAAAACGAUGAUUAAACCAUUAUAACUGUGAUUCGAAGUUGCUGUGAAAUUCCGUUUGCAAAUGAAAUUUUACGCAAUGCUUUUUUUUUUUUUUGUUAAAGAACUUAUUUUGUCUCAAAAUACCUUCUUAUUUUAGAUAGAAAUCUUCAAGUGUGUUUCCUGAAACAUUGUUUAGAUUUUGGAUGAAGAUUAUUUCAUAUCACAAAACAUUUUAUCAGCAUGCAUGGGUAGUUAGUUAUAUAACAACAAGAACAGAUGAAAUAUUCUCUGGUUGCUAGGCAACAGGAAGAAUCAUUAAAGUUAUAGAUAUUUUUUAAUGAAUGUUCUUUGGUUGAUAGUACUUUGCUUCAAUGCCUAUUUUACAACCAAAUUUUUAACAGCACACCUUCAUUUUAAAUUAAUGUCAAUAUGCUAGCAAUAUUCUGUAGGGAAUUGAAAUUGAAGUAAAAUUUUGAACAUGGACCUUCCUAUCAGAUGUCUGUAUAUCUUCAAAAGUUUUCAAUAGAUUGACGUCAAUUUUUCAAGACUGUCUGAUUAUAUUUUUUUUUUUUACUUUUUCAUUUGAUCUUAAAUUAAUGCAAAUUUUUAAGUCAAAUUAUAAGUCUAAAAACCUAAAAAAAAUAUGGAAAUUGUGAAAAAGUCCAUUGUUGCUAAGCAACAGAAAUAUUGAAGUCGCUGUUUUGUAACUAUAUUUGUGCUUUAUUGUCAUAGAUUUAUUUCAUAUAGCCAUAUUUGCAAAGAAAGCACCUUGUUAAGGGCUUGUAAAACACUGAAGAUUAAUCUUACUAGGUGCAGUAAAUUUUGUAAAAAUAGCCUGUAUGCAGAUGUAAUAUUUUGCACAUAGCCUGUGUAUUAAAAUACUUUUUCUUCAAAACCACUUUAUAUAUUGCCCAGAAAAUUUCAUGACUGUUUAGAUAGAGAAUGUUAUUACUCAUCUUGAAAUUAAUUUCAUUUGUGACAUAAGUGCACUUAAAUUAUUGUCAUGUAUAGCUUUAAUAGUAAGAAAAAUGAAAUAUUUUCUGGUUGCUAGGCAACAGAAAUGAAAAUAUUUGUUAACUGCACUCCGCUUUUUGUCUCAAAAUGUUGUUUUGACAUUAAAUAAAGAAAUUGAACACAUUAAUUUGCUUCUUUAUUUUAUUUUCUAUUUACAAAACUGUAUUUAAUAUACUUACCUGAAGGCAAGAAAAAUACCUCCAAAUCAGUGCAGAUUUGAACAUAUCUAAAAAUGGUCGUCAACAUAAAAUUAAA